rnacentral:rRNA from 1 species
UCAAGUGAAUAAGAGCAUGUGGUGGAUGCCUUGGCGAUGAUAGGCGACGAAGGACGUGAUAGCCUGCGAUAAGCUUCGGGGAGCUGGCAAAUUAGCUUUGAUCCGGAGAUCUCUGAAUGGGGAAACCUGCCCAGCAGUGGGUAUCGCACAGUGAAUACAUAGCUGUGCGAGGCGAACCGGGUGAACUGAAACAUCUCAGUAGCUCGAGGAAAAGACAUCAACCGAGAUUCCGAAAGUAGUGGCGAGCGAAAUCGGAGAAGCCUGUUAGUGAUAGCACAAGACUUAGCGAAACGGUCUGGAAAGGCCGGCUACAAAGGGUGAUAGCCCCGUACGCGAAAAGACCUGUGUGGUACUGAGCUAACGACAAGUAGGGCGGGACACGUGUAAUCCUGUCUGAAUAUGGGGGGACCAUCCUCCAAGGCUAAAUACUCAUCAUCGACCGAUAGUGAACUAGUACCGUGAGGGAAAGGCGAAAAGAACCCCGGGAGGGGAGUGAAAUAGAUCCUGAAACCGCAUGCUUACAAAAAGUAGGAGCCCGCAAGGGUGACUGCGUACCUUUUGUAUAAUGGGUCAGCGACUUACAUUCAGUGGCAAGGUUAACCGAAUAGGGAAGCCGUAGAGAAAUCGAGUCCGAAUAGGGCGUUCAGUCGCUGGGUGUAGACCCGAAACCAAGUGAUCUAUCCAUGGCCAGGAUGAAGGUGCCGUAACAGGUACUGGAGGUCCGAACCGACUAGUGUUGCAAAACUAGCGGAUGAGCUGUGGAUAGGGGUGAAAGGCUAAACAAACUUGGAAAUAGCUGGUUCUCUCCGAAAACUAUUUAGGUAGUGCCUCAAGUAUUACCGUCGGGGGUAGAGCACUGUUUUGGCUAGGGGGUCAUGGCGACUUACCAAACCAAUGCAAACUCCGAAUACCGACGAGUACAGCUUGGGAGACAGAGCACCGGGUGCUAACGUCCGGACUCAAGAGGGAAACAACCCAGACCGCCAGCUAAGGUCCCUAAAAUUGGCUAAGUGGGAAACGAAGUGGGAAGGCUAAAACAGUCAGGAUGUUGGCUUAGAAGCAGCCAUCAUUUAAAGAAAGCGUAAUAGCUCACUGAUCGAGUCGUCCUGCGCGGAAGAUGUAACGGGGCUAAGCCAGUUACCGAAGCUGCGGAUGCACAGCAAUGUGCGUGGUAGGAGAGCGUUCUGUAAGCCUGUGAAGGUGUCUUGUAAGGGAUGCUGGAGGUAUCAGAAGUGCGAAUGCUGACAUGAGUAGCGUUAAAGCGGGUGAAAAGCCCGCUCGCCGUAAGCGCAAGGUUUUCUACGCAACGUUCAUCGGCGUAGAGUGAGUCGGCCCCUAAGGCGAGGCAGAGAUGCGUAGUUGAUGGGAAACAGGUCAAUAUUCCUGUACCGAUGUGCAGUGCGAUGUGGGGACGGAGAAGGUUAACUCAGCCGGGUGUUGGAUGUCCCGGUUCAAGCCUGUAGUCGUGCCUGGUAGGUAAAUCCGCCGGGCUUAGAUGAGGGGUGAUAACGAGGAAGCUUGCUUCCGAAGUGAGUGAUACCCUGCUUCCAGGAAAAGCCACUAAGCUUCAGCUACACACGACCGUACCGCAAACCGACACUGGUGCGCGAGAUGAGUAUUCUAAGGCGCUUGAGAGAACUCUGGAGAAGGAACUCGGCAAAUUGACACCGUAACUUCGGAAGAAGGUGUGCCUUUAGUAGGUGAAGUCCCUGCGGAUGGAGCCCAAUGAGGUUGCAAAAAAUCGGUGGCUGCGACUGUUUAAUAAAAACACAGCACUCUGCAAAGACGAAAGUCGACGUAUAGGGUGUGACGCCUGCCCGGUGCUGGAAGAUUAAAUGAUGGGGUGCAAGCUCUUGAUUGAAGUCCCAGUAAACGGCGGCCGUAACUAUAACGGUCCUAAGGUAGCGAAAUUCCUUGUCGG